GCAAGAUCCUGUCUCAGAAAGAAAAAAAAAAGUCCUAGUCAUUUCUACCAACUCGAAAGCCCUCUAAUAAGCAGUCUCUGCUCUGGAGCUUUUUGGUGGGCUGCUAGAGACUUUGUUAGAUCCUACCGUUCCUCUGCUCAAUCCUGCUUUUCCCUUUUCCUUUCAGAGAUGUCACUUCACCAGUUUUGUACUCCUAACUCCAUCUCAGCCUAAAAUUGGCACAAUUGGUACCAGUGGCCCACGAACGUAGGUGGUAAGACAGCAUUUGCAGGCUGAGUGACUCACUGUCUGGCUGGCUCGGAGGCCCCCAUCCCUGGUGGAUAGGUGGCACAGACAGUCCCUGGCACAAGAAGGCUGUCCAGUGAUGAAGACUUCAGAUGAAAUGGCAUGCUGGUGCAGGGGAACGCAAUGACUGGUGGGUGAUUUGGGUGUCUCAAAUAUGGGAAGGGUGGAUAAAAGAGACAAGGACAGUGGGCUUCCAUGGUUAUUGCUGAGUUGGAUUGACGUCCUGCAAGUGGAUAAUGAAAAGCUGAGGUCAAUUAACAAACAAAACUAAGUGUGAGCCGCAGAGUCUCUGUGGUAGCUUGCCAACAAUCCUCAUCUCAUGCUGUAGCCAAGCAGAGCAAGCUGAAGGCCAAGCACAGGAUUUGAUGGUAAAAGUAGCUAACAGCCAACAAAUACUCAACCAAGCCAGGUCUGUUAGAUCAAGGUUGGAAUCAAACUUGGGAUCCCAAAACAUGGGAUGGGAGCAUUUAGUGGAUCUCCCCAACCAUCUGCCUCCCUAGAAAACUCCCUGAAUAUUCACAUCCUUCAGAAGAGGCCCACCCUUCCCCAUGAAGAGCUGGAACUACCCUCCCUUCCUGCCUCUUCCCUAACACAAGGGAAGACAGUGUCCAAGGUCUUUCCCCAUGAAGCAAAAGGUGUCCCUCAGGACUGGUCCCUCCCCUUCUCCUGGCUACCAGGCCUAUAACGAGACUUAAGUCACAACAUAACUGAUUGCGGCUGAGGGGUCUGAUGAGGGAGAAAUGGGAUCUAUGCCAGAGGAGCCACCUAACCUGGCAGCAUGUACUGCAGGGGCCAGGGGCGUACUCUUGGGACUGGAUCCUGAGGGUGCUUGGUCAAAGGGGCUGGGUUUAUACAACUAGAUAAAGGAGAGGGUAUAUUGACUUGGGGCUCUCAGGAUAGAGGAUUUCACACCAUGAGAAAAAUGCCAGGAGAUAAUACAGACUCACUGCUCUAGGGCAGCUUGGUAGAAGCCUAGAAAGAGUGAUCAAAAUGUUGAAAUGCCUGAAUGGCUGGGACAAACAAUAGAGAAAGGAAUGAGAAGGCUCAGGGAAGGGAGCAUGCCAGCAUGGAUAUAUGAGGCAAGGUGACCCAUCAGACAAUUAUGUUCCACGGGAAGGCCCAGGGGACCCAUCCUUCAGCAAGGCUGCUGGGAAUGCACUGAUAAGCGGGCUUGGGCAUCAUAAAGGAGCUCAGCGGUGGCUCUCCUCGGCAGGCUGGGGCUGGCAGGAAGGGCUGUGAUGGAACUUCACUUGCUGAGAGCAAUGUGGAUGAUGAUGAGACCUUGAAGAGCCCAGGUGGCAGUGCCAGCCACAGAAGCCAGGGUGCCAUCAGUAUCCUGUUAACCACUAAGCUCCAAAUGGCAGCCGAGGGGUCCUGACCUGUAAAGUCUCAUGGAAAUAGUUGGUAGAACAAGGCAUUCCUAGGGACAAAAGAGCUGACUAAUCAACAAGGGUAAGGCUUUAUAUAUAAUCAAAAGUGAGCAAGAAUUGAUGAGCAGGGGACUGAGAGAGAUCACUCCAAUUAAAAAACAAAAACAUGAUUCCUUGCCAGUUUCUAGUUCAGUUUUCUGACCUAGAGCUCAUUAAUUGCAGAGGUGACUGUAUCCUAGGGGAAAGUUUCCUGCAACAUUUCAGCAGGUGUACACAGUAAUGAUCCCCUCAUUCUUUUUCUAAAGGAUCUAUGGCCAUUUACUCAGGUGGCUCUACCCUGGGGAAAGAGGAAUACCUGGAUACGUCAGGGUCCAAGUUAACGUCUGAUACCCAGAAACCCAAAGAGUCAUUACAGUUCCUCCUCCUCCCAUUAAAAUGGGAGCAUACAGAGGUUAGAAAGUAAACGUAGUUCUAAUCAAAGUUUGGCUUACAGCAGAUCUCCUGGGCCUGCAGGUUAUCUGCCUAAUCCCUGAAUGUAUAAUUGAGACUGACAUCCUUGGCAGGCAGAAUAACCCCUACAUUUGUUCCUUGACCUGUGGGGAAAGAGUAUAAGCUUCUAAACUCCCUCUCCUCCAAUCAGGGCAGUAAACCAUAAUAAAUAUUGCCUUGAACAGUAUUUUUUAAGCACCUCGGGUGAACAUCUGCUUCUGGCCAUGAUGAUGAAUUGGGAACCCAAUUUACCUGUCCCUCUUAAACAACUAAAAGCCCAGACAAAAUAUAUGAAACAAUGGUUUUCAGACACUGAAAGUUCAUAGUACAGGACUGUGAUCUCUGCGAGAAGGGGGAAUAAUGAGGUGAGUCCAGUGAUUGCUCAGGCGAAUGGCCUGGAGGCAGUUUCUAGGCAGCAAAGCAGGGAGAGGGAAGCCAGAGACCAGUGGUCCUGCUGUGUUGAGGAGAUGGAGAUCAGUGUCACCGGAGGCCAAGGUGAGUAAGUGAGAGGAGAGGAGGCAGCAGCACACAGACAGAGAGUGCUGUAGAUCUGCAGUGGGUCCCCUGGAGUCCUUGGUUGAGUGAAGGUGUUAGAAGAAACUACUUAAGCCAAGAAAUGAGUAACUGGAAAUUAGUAGAGCAAAUAAUUUACAGAUCAUCUAUGGGGCUGGGAAAAGUUUGUGUUUCCACUAGCCAGAGUAGAAAUAACUCAUAAUGCAUGGGUCAUCAGGUGGAGUCCUCCAACAGGUGUUGCCUUAGUACUGAGGUCAAAUUGUCCCUAGACCAAAGGCUUCUUUGGACUUCCCCUAACAAAGCUUAAAGACAAGCCUUGGAAGGAUCAAACUAAUUUCAAGAAACUUAACUGUGAAUCAGAAUAAAACCCAAUACCAUUUAUAGGAAUAUAACAAAAUCCAUCAACAAACAACAUAACACUCAUAAUUACCAACAUUCAGUAAAAAAUUACUGGAAACAGAGAAAUAUAAAUUAUGGCCCAUAAUUAGGAAAAAAGGGUAAUCAUUAGAAGUAGAACCAGAAGUGACAGAUAUGAAGAAAUUAGCAGCUUGAAUUAUGUGAUGUGGCAGAUCUUAUGUAUUGGAGGUAGGGGGAAAGAAGAUGCAGUGUGGAAUAGAUGACAAGGCCCAAUGAGAGAAUCACAGUGCAGGUCCCUGGGGCCCUGAAGGAAGGUGGUUCUAACCACAGGAGAGGAUCAUAUGCUUUUUGAAAAACAGCCUCUGCUGUGCUACUGGGCCCUGGUAGACACGGAACUUUGAGACCCAGUGAUGCUGUAUCCAGAACUGCUCAUCUUAACUAGGUCCUGUGGGAAGCACUAAGUCAUAAGCUAGUAGGAUCGGCAGCAGCCCAUUGGAAGAUGGAAAUGAUAUGUACAGGAGCAGUUCCAAGCCAGACCAGAGGACAUAAGCAAACUGCAAGAGCAAUUACUCCAACCGCCAUGUCUGCACAGUGGCACCUACAUCCCCCCUCCCUGUGGUUGUUGGAGGACCUGUAUGAUCCACUGAAGGAAGAGGAAUGCUUGGGCUUGGUUUAUUGAUUAGUUAUCUUCUGUAGUUGCAAGCUGAAAAUGGACCUUCACUCAAAGGUGACAUUGAAAAACGGGAAAAAAAUUGCAAUCUUCCUGCAAAAACUGGGCAGAAUUUUUUGAGGUACACUGGAUCAUUCACCUUGUGAGGGAGGACAGGUAAAAUAUUUAUGGAAGUGGCAGAAAAUGGCCUGCCAGCUGAUCAGGAGUUUGGGAGGAAAAAAACAUGGAUUAGGAGGUCUGGGGUAGAGGCAUGUGGAUGGGCAUAUGGAGUGAACACAGAAGUUGAAAAACUGUAUCACAUGUUAAUGCCCACUAGAUAGCACCCACCAGAGAAGAGGCACUAAACAACCAAGUAGAUGAAAUGACUUAGCCUGUUCUAUUAGCUUUUGCCAGUGCCCACCUCAGUGCUGGUAAAAUGCACACAUAAAGUGGCAGUGGUGGCAAAGAUGGAGGCUAUGGAUGGAACCCACCAACAUGGGCUCCCACUUACCAAGGCCAACUUAGACACUGCUCACUGUGACUAUCCAACCUGCCUGCAACAAAUACCAAUGCUGAGACCCUGAUGAGGCUGUGAAGACCAACUGGUCGCUUGAUAGCAAAUUCACUAUGGUAGGCUCAUUCUUUCCUAGAAGCACCAGCAGUUUAUUCACACAAGGACAGACUUCCUAUUCUAGGUAUGUGGUUCCUUUCGGGCCUACAGGGUCCUGAACACAAUCUAAGGACUUACAAAACAUCUGAACUGUCAGCGUAGAUUUGCUGAAUACGUGAUCUAUACAUGUUAACACCCAAUCAGGGAGAGUUCGCCAGCGGUCAUAGGAUCCACUGCUCCUAUCACAUACUGCGCCACCUAGAAGCUGCUAGACUGAUGGAAUGUUGGCAUGGCCUGCUUUAGUGCCAGGUGGGAGACAAUACCCUGCCAAGAUGUGCCACCGUCUCCUGCACACAGUAUACUUAUUGAAUCAGAAAGCCUGUAUGAUGCUGUGUCUACAACAGGAAUAUAUAGAUUUCAGAACCAAGGAGUGGAGGCAGGAGUGACCCCACUUACCAUCGCACCCAACGAACCACUGAGGGACUUAGUACUUCCCAUGCCCACAACUCCAGGUUCUACAGCAUCAGAAGUCCUAGUUCUCAGAGACUGUAUACCUUCUCUAGGCAAUAUUGCAAGAAUCCCAUUGAACUACAGUCUGCUGCUACUAUGUGGGCACUUUGGACUCUGUGUUCAGGGACCAGUAGGCAAGAAGUCACCAUCUAGUCAAGGGUAAUUGACCCUGAACUGCAGGAGGAGGCAAGCCUGCUGUCAGAGGAUAGUGGCGAGAGCAAUGUGUGUGGAACUUAGCGGACCCACUGGAGGCACCCUCUGUACUCCUUGCCCAGUUGUAACUGAAUGGACUAGUGCAGCAACCCUGGUCUGAGAAGGGUUUGGCUCCCAGGAGCUCAGGACCCUCAGGAAUGAGAGCUUGGUUUAUACUAUCAAAAAAGCCACCAAGACCAGCAAAGAUGACAGUUGUGGGUGAGGGGAAUUUAGAAUGAAGCAGGGAGUAAUGAGGACCAGUUGUGGUUCCAAAACCAUUUGCAGGAAGGUGCUAUAGUUGGUCCUACCAAACUCCUCUUUCAACAUUUAUCCUCAGGAAGAGAGGUCCAUUGGCGCCCUGAAACAGUCACUCUCUGCGUGUUUUUGGGAAAAUGGAUCCACAUAGGCAAGGGGUGGACCAUGGCAGGCAUAGAGCGGUGCCACUUAGAUCCCCCUUCAAGACAAGAUAUGCCAUCCAGCUGCAAGGAGUGUGGGUAGCUGGCAGCCACCAGCUGCUACUUCACCAGGAUCCACCUUAGCUUUCAAGCUGAGGUCACGCUAUUCUCAAGACAGGAGGGGUUGGUGGCCAAUGAUUUCACUAAAUUAUGGAAAUUGAGAGCAUGCUUUUCUGAGGGGGCCCUCUUGCCAAAGACCAAGCAAGGCCAUGGUACAAGGACCUAACUGUUUCAGUCCAACACAGGACUCCUCCAAUGAGUGACCUUUUUCCCAGAGUUCCCCUGGGAUGGCAGCUCGCCUGCUCUCCCUGCCUCGUCCUGCUUCCUCUUUUCCUUUCAAAGGUGCUUACUCCAAUAAUAAAUCCUUUGGUAUUCUAACUGUCUACUUCUUGAAGAAUCUAAACUGGCAGUAGGAUCAUGCCCCUCACUGAUAGCUCAACCACGUUUUCUAUCUUUGGGCCUCCUUGUCUUUACCUAGCACAUGAGAAGCAUUUAUUAGGACUUUUUUUCCCCCAUUGCUGAACAAAUGACUACAGAUUGCUCUACCUCUUGUUCUGUGAAUAAAGGCUGGCCGCUGUGGAAGGUAGGUCAGAGCAGGCAACUGAGAGAAACUGUAUUACAGUUACCGAGUGGCUUAUUAAGGAAAGUGGCGCAACAAUCAGGUCCAUGUUUCAUUCAAAUGACCCUCCAUUCCCCCAACAACAUCCUCACAUCUGCCAAAGCAAAUUAUGCUGCUGUGCUCAUUUGAUGAUGGAAUCAGCAUCGCAUGCAGGCUGAACCCCUACUACGGCAGAACCAAGAAAGCCACUCUUUCCCCUCUCCUCCUAAGAUGCCACCACAGAGCAGGGUGCCAGUGGUGGGUGGGGAGAAAGACGGAGACACAGAAACGUCUCCUUUUCACUGUGAUUCUCCUAAGGAAUAUACAGUCACCCCCACAGGAAAAGCAAGAGUUCAAUCAAGAUUCUUCAGAAAUAGUAGGAUGGCAGAAAGCAGAUCGCAUUGAGGUUGUUUCCAACUGACAGACCAAGCAGUAAUUUGUUUCUCUCCCCACUGAUAGUAAAAAUAAAGUGGAAAUAAUUUAGGGCUGGGGCUUCUGUGAUUAUCUGGAACUUAAAGUAUGAGGGUAUGAGAGCCAUCAGAUCUACCCCUGUGGAGCUUUUUAAGAUGCGGUCCAUAACAGAAGCGGGCCCCAAGGAGUAGAGUAGCCACAUGGAAGGUGCCAUGUUUCAGGGAUGAGUCUCGAUUCUUCUCUCCCUGUAUUUCAUCCAUGCCUGUAAGAAGUUCUCACGUCUCUCCACAUGCCACGUCAUCUGAACCGCCAGGCGAUAGGUUAUUCGUAUUUUAUUCCAAAGUCCAUAGGACACGAUGUGGACUUGUUUUUCCACGUGCCCUUGUAGAUGGUGCCAUCCAGUGUCUGUGAUGUUCCACCUCCUCUGUUGGGUUGUCACCUCCCCCAGAGACCUUCUGGUCUCACUGCUUUUCUGUUUGUAUCCAGCAAAACACUCAACAAUUCUGUAUAAGAACACCUAUCUCAUUAUUCAAAAAAAAUGCAUGUAUAAACAAAAAGAAAUAUUUCAAAUAUUUACUUUACAAUUGUUUUAUUCAAAGGAAAUUAAAUACAAAUGUAUAUUUUUCAUUAAAAAUGGGGAUUUAAAAAUAGUUUUAUAAUUAGUGUUAUGUUGCUUUAUCUUAUCUUUGCAUAAAUUAUGUAUUAUUAAAGGUUUCUGAUAUCCAUA
rnacentral:lncRNA from 1 species